CACGUAGGCACCAAGCGUUGUCCGGAUUUAUUGGGCGUAAAGAGCUCGUAGGCGGUUGAGUAAGUCGGGUGUGAAAACUCUGGGCUUAACCCAGAGCCGCCACUCGAUACUGCUCUGACUUGAGUUCGGUAGGGGAGCAGGGAAUUCCUAGUGUAGCGGUGAAAUGCGCAGAUAUCAGGAGGAACACCGGUGGCGAAGGCGGUCUCUGGCGAUUACCUGACGCUGAGGAGCGAAAGAUGUGGGGAGGCGAAACAGG
rnacentral:rRNA from 1 species